rnacentral:lncRNA from 1 species
GCGUGUUCAGCGUCAUGGGCAGCGCCGUGCACGAGCAGGGGGAGGCUCUGAACCGCAUUGAGCUGCAAGUCCUCCAAUCCGGGGCCGCCGUGCACAAAGGCCACGCCCACCUGGGGACGGCGCACGGACGGCAGCGAGCGGCCAGGAGGGUGCGUGCCCCAUAGCGACCCANAAGGGAUUAUUGGGGCUAUUAAUGAGGUUUUGGGGGCUAUUAAAGGGAUUAUUGGGGCUAUUAAUGAGGUUUUGGGGGCUAUUAAAGGGAUUAUUGGGGCUAUUAAUGAGGUUUUGGGGGCUAUUAAAGGGAUUAUUGGGGCUAUUAAUGGGGUUUUGCGGGCUAUUAAUGGAGUUUUUGGGGUUAUUAAUGAGGCUUUUGGGCCUAUUAAAGGGGUUUUCGGGGCUAUUAAUGGGGUUUUGGGGGCUAUUAAUGGCGUUAUUGGGGCUAUUAAUGGGUUUUUGGGGGCCUAUUAAUGGGGAUAUUGGAGUAUUAAUGGGGUUUGGGGGGCUGUUAAUGGGGUUAUCGGGGCUGUUAAUGAGGUUUUUGUGCCUAUUAAUGGGAUUAUUGGGGCUAUUGAUGAGGUUUUGGGGCCUAUUAAUGGGAUUUUGGGGCUAUUAAUGGGGUUUUUGGGCCUAUUAAUGGCGUCCCCUGAGAUGUGUGGGGCGCCCCAUAGCCGGGAACUCGGCGGUGACGGACGAGGAACUGGAGGAGAUGCUGGAAACGGGGCAGAGCGAAGUGUUCGUCUCCAACGUGAGUUGUGGGGCGCCCCAUAGAGCCCGCUGUGCCCCAUAGUGCCCCAUAGAUCCCAUCGGGACCCAUAGUGACCCCAUGGAGCCCCACAGUGCCCCAUAGAUCCCAAAGGGACCCCAUAGGGCCUCAUAGAUCCUAUCGGGACCCGUAGCGACCCCAUAGAGCCCCAUAGUGCCCCAUAGAUCCCAUAGGGACCCCAUAGGG